CUGAGCCCUGCCCGGAGGGGACAUUUGGUGACAGGCCGGGGCUGUCCGGACCCUCGGGGUGCAGCCCCUGUGCUCGGGGUUCCUACUGUGCUGCCCCAGGACAGACUGGCCCAAGUGGGCCCUGUGGGGCUGGGUUUUACUGCCAGGGCAGGGCUCUGACUCCAUGGCCCACGGAUGGUGUGACAGGAGCUGUGUGUCCUGCUGGCUCCUACUGCCCACCUGGCUCUGCCUUCCCCAUCCCCUGCCCUCCAGGGACUUUCAGCAACACCAGUGGGCUGAGGAGCCUCCAGGAGUGCUUGGAUUGCCCGCCUGGCUUGUAUUGUGCUGGGACAAACAACCAAGCCCCCUCAGGACCUUGUGAACCUGGUUACUUCUGCACAGGAGGGGCCAAAAGUCCUCUCCAGCACGUGGUGGUGGAGGGACACUAUUCCUUAGCAGGAGCUUUCAAACCGGAGCCGUGUCCCCUCGGCACCUUCCAGCCUGUGAGUACACAGGGUUCCAGCCUGGGGGGUCAGCAGAGCCCUUGGAAACUCUGAAAAUGUGUGAGUAGAAAUUCCUGAGGUGUUUGGAAGCAGUCAGCUUGAAAAAAAGGAGGAUUUGGGGGAUUUCUGCUGAUUUGGGUAAUCACCACCUGCUCUGCUUUUACCCUGCAACAGAAGAAGAACCAAAAGCCUUUGGGUGAAGACACCAGAUCCAUCAGCCCAGGGCUGUUGCCUGCACCUCGUUUGGCACUUUUUGUUAAGUUUUCUUGCACAGUACAAGUUGGGAAGGGCUGCUGAGUCUGUGGCCUGGCAGGGCCGAAUUAAUUUGUGCAUUUCCAUCACUUCUCUGAUCAGGGCUGUGCCUGCCAAUGCUUUAGUGCUGCAGGUACCCCAGAUUUGCUGCUUUUGGGCUGCAGGUCAUUCCCUCCAGGGUUCAUUUUGCAGCAGGGACUCCCUGGCAGUUGGUAGAACACGCAAAGUUUAUUUUUUCUCGUGGUAACAGCAGUACUCCACCCUGCCAGGCUCUGUGCUCUCUUUCAGGGCCGUGCUCAGUCUCUCUGUAGGGGCUGCCCUGAGGGGACUUUCUGCAGUGAGCCAGGCCUGGCUGCCCCCCAGGAUUGUCCCAAAGGCCAUUUCUGCCUGGCUGGCAGC